rnacentral:rRNA from 1 species
UGCAAGUCGAACGGGAUCCAUCAGGCUUUGCUUGGUGGUGAGAGUGGCGAACGGGUGAGUAAUGCGUGACCGACCUGCCCCAUACACCGGAAUAGCUCCUGGAAACGGGUGGUAAUGCCGGAUGCUCCAGUUGAUCGCAUGGUCUUCUGGGAAAGCUUUCGCGGUAUGGGAUGGGGUCGCGUCCUAUCAGCUUGACGGCGGGGUAACGGCCCACCGUGGCUUCGACGGGUAGCCGGCCUGAGAGGGCGACCGGCCACAUUGGGACUGAGAUACGGCCCAGACUCCUACGGGAGGCAGCAGUGGGGAAUAUUGCACAAUGGGCGCAAGCCUGAUGCAGCGACGCCGCGUGAGGGAUGGAGGCCUUCGGGUUGUAAACCUCUUUUAUCGGGGAGCAAGCGAGAGUGAGUUUACCCGUUGAAUAAGCACCGGCUAACUACGUGCCAGCAGCCGCGGUAAUACGUAGGGUGCAAGCGUUAUCCGGAAUUAUUGGGCGUAAAGGGCUCGUAGGCGGUUCGUCGCGUCCGGUGUGAAAGUCCAUCGCUUAACGGUGGAUCCGCGCCGGGUACGGGCGGGCUUGAGUGCGGUAGGGGAGACUGGAAUUCCCGGUGUAACGGUGGAAUGUGUAGAUAUCGGGAAGAACACCAAUGGCGAAGGCAGGUCUCUGGGCCGUUACUGACGCUGAGGAGCGAAAGCGUGGGGAGCGAACAGGAUUAGAUACCCUGGUAGUCCACGCCGUAAACGGUGGAUGCUGGAUGUGGGGCCCGUUCCACGGGUUCCGUGUCGGAGCUAACGCGUUAAGCAUCCCGCCUGGGGAGUACGGCCGCAAGGCUAAAACUCAAAGAAAUUGACGGGGGCCCGCACAAGCGGCGGAGCAUGCGGAUUAAUUCGAUGCAACGCGAAGAACCUUACCUGGGCUUGACAUGUUCCCGACGGUCGUAGAGAUACGGCUUCCCUUCGGGGCGGGUUCACAGGUGGUGCAUGGUCGUCGUCAGCUCGUGUCGUGAGAUGUUGGGUUAAGUCCCGCAACGAGCGCAACCCUCGCCCCGUGUUGCCAGCGGAUUAUGCCGGGAACUCACGGGGGACCGCCGGGGUUAACUCGGAGGAAGGUGGGGAUGACGUCAA